rnacentral:antisense_RNA from 1 species
CUUCACCGAGCCGAGCCACAGCGGCCGGUCCGCGGGGCGGCCGGGCCCGUGCACGGCUUGGAGGGCCUGCGCUUC